CCCUUAGAUGUUCUGGGCUGCACGCGCGCUACACUGACACACUCAGCGAGUCUCCUGGCCCGAGAGGGUUGGGUAAUCAUGUGAGCGUGUGUCGUGAUGGGGAUAGAAUAUUGUAAUUAUUGCUCUUCAACGAGGAAUUCCUAGUAAGCGCGAGUCAGCAGCUCGCGCUGAUUACGUCCCUGCCCUUUGUACACACCGCCCGUCGCUCCUACCGAUGGGGUGAUCCGGUGAAAUCUCGGGACGGCGGCUUGGUCGCUUGCGUCCGACUGCUGAAACUUGAUUAAACCAUAUCAUUUAGAGGAAGGUGAAGUCGUAACA
rnacentral:rRNA from 1 species